GUUGUAUAAAACUCUAAUUAGUUCUAGAAAUUUCAAAAUCAUUGACAAAUGAAACGAUGUUCGAGAUAUUUUCAUAUCAAACAAACUAUACAGUAUUUGAUCUAUUGUUAGGAUAAGUACGAGGAUCUAAAUAUAUAUAGCAAACCUCGGUAUGUCCAGUUGGAUGAAACGUUCUUAGGUUAGGAAUACAUAUAUAUAGCUAAUUUAUACAUAUUGGAACUCCACAGGUUGACCGAGCUCUUUUCUUCCAUUCUUUCAUCGGAUUCUCCUCAUUCUUUCGUAUCUCUCUUGUCAGUACAUCAUCGUUCAAAUUUCGACCAUUCUUUUCUUCCUCACGGAGCCAUACCCAUUUCGGACUCGCCAAGCACAGGGUCACGGUAGAUAACACAAGCAAGAUGACCAAGAAAUUGUUGGAAAAUACCAUGAUUCUUCAACAGCAGUUAUACUUAUAUUUUGUAUAGUCCUUCUGUUUAUGUGCAGUAUUGAUCGCUAUCGAACAC